rnacentral:rRNA from 1 species
UACGUAGGGGGCAAGCGUUGUCCGGAUUUAUUGGGCGUAAAGAGCGUGUAGGCGGCCAGGUAGGUCUGCUGUGAAAACUCGAGGCUUAACCUCGAGCUGUCGGCGGAAACCAUCUGGCUAGAGUCCGGAAGAGGAGAAUGGAAUUCCCGGUGUAGCGGUGAAAUGCGCAGAUAUCGGGAAGAACACCCGUGGCGAAGGCGGUUCUCUGGGCCUUACCUGACGCUGAGGCGCGAAAGCUAGGGGAGCGAACAGG